rnacentral:rRNA from 1 species
UCGAGGAUAUUUAGCAAUGGGGGAAACCCUGACUAUGUGACGCCGCGUGAGGGAUGAAGGCCUUCGGGUCGUAAACCUCUUUCGAUGGGGAAGAAACUUCUACUUAACCGGUAGAACUGACGGUACCUAGAGAAGAAGCCAUGGCCAACUCUGUGCCAGCAGCCGCGGUAAUACAGAGAUGGCGAGCGUUACUCGGAUUUAUUGGGUGUAAAGGACAGGUAGGCGGCUAUGCAAGUUGAUGGUGAAAUCCUGUGGCUCAACCACAGAACUGCCUUCAAAACUGCGUAGCUUGAGGCUAGAAGAGGAGAGCGGAAUUCCCGGUGUAAGGGUGAAAUCUGUAGAUAUCGGGAGGAACACCAGUGGCGAAAGCGGCUCUCUGGUCUGGCCCUGACGCUGAUCUGUGAAAGCUUGGGGAGCAAACA